AACGUUAAUGUUUUACAUCAAUGUAAAGCUUAACGCUUUAAAGCUUGAACAAAUUGCUAUAAUAAUUAGGUAGAUACACCCCGAGCUAACGUUAGCUAACUGAACUUAUCAUUUAACAUUUGGCUGUUAGCUAGCUAGCUGUGCUACUGUCUUUU